rnacentral:rRNA from 1 species
AACGGCCAUACCAUGCUGAAUAUACCGGUUCUCGUUAGAUCACCGAAGUCAAGCAUCAUUGGGCGCGGUCAGUACUUGGAUGGGUGACCACCUGGGAACACCGCGUGCCGUUG